GACGAACCGUGCGGACGUUGUUCGGAAUCACUGGGCUUAAAGGGCGCGUAGGCGGGCGGCCGCGUCCGGGGUGAAAUCCCACGGCUCAACCGUGGAACGGCCUCGGAUACGGGCGGCCUCGAGGGGGGUAGGGGCAUCUGGAACUGUGAGCGGAGCGGUGAAAUGCGUUGAUAUUCACAGGAACUCCGGUGGCGAAGGCGAGGUGCUGGACCCCAUCUGACGCUGAGGCGCGAAAGCCAGGGGAGCGAACGGG
rnacentral:rRNA from 1 species